UGAUUUUUCUGUUUCCUUUCUCCCCCUUCUAAAUUUCUCUGUUUGUUCAUCUCCACCGGCCAUUUCCAUCCUCGUCCUUCGAAAGUGCUCGUCUGCCGUAUCAAUGGCGGCGUCAACUGCAUUUGGACGACACUAAUAGCAGAUUCUUCAAUCAACGCCGUGAUUAUUAGGUCAACAGAAAGCCCCUAAGUUAGGCUGAGGCUUGCGACGCAAAACAUACUAGUGGCCAGACCUGAGCAGUGGCGCAGUAGCAAACAGAAGCAACGAUAGUAAGAUAACCGGUGGUGGACCAAUAACAGCAGCAGAAGAAAGAUCUCUGCCGUGGGAACUGUCGCGAAGAAGUAAAAAUGGAGAAACGUUGCGAAUAUUGGCUGCCCAAGAAGAAACGAUUUUGCGCCAAUUUCCCCUUCAAUGAUUCCCCAUUCUGCGGGAAUCACAGCAUUAGGUCCAAUGGCAAGUGGAUUCCUUGCUCAAUCGACCCUUCCCAUUGUGUGCUUGAAGAAAACAUGGAGGGUCACUUGAAGAGAUGCCCAUUAUUGAAACAAACCCAGACAUUGUCACUCCAGCCUUACUACCAAAAGGGGAUUAAUCAAGGCACAGAUUCUGAAGAUCAAGAUGUUCAAUUCACAUCUGAGAUGAAGAGGAAUUGGGUUUAUAAUUUGAGUGCUCCUCUUUUUUAUGAUUUACUCUCCAAGAUCCGUUCUCUUCAUGCUUCCAUUUGUAAGGACAUGCAGUUUUCUUACAAGAUACCUAACGCUUGUGAUAUCUGGAUAAAGAGACAAAAUGACCGGAAAAUACCAUACCAAGAGAAGCAUGUCCGGCAACAAGCGUCAAUUCUCGGGAAUUUGGAGGACUUUGGGGCUUUGAGCAGUUCUGAUCAAGCUUUUUCAGAAGAACAGUGUGAUCGUAGCACAUUGCAUUGCUAUGAAGAUGAUGUCUCUGCUGUGGUUGAGUUUGGAGCUGGUAGGGGUUACUUAACACAGAUAUUGGCUGAUUGUUAUGGGAUUGAAAAGGUAGUCCUGGUUGAGCGCAAGGCGUACAAGCUCAAGGCAGAUCGGAGUUUACGACAAAUAGAGAACUUAGCAUUGGAGCGUUUAAGAAUCGACAUUGAAGAUUUAAAUCUGAAUGCUGUCGAGUCUUUGAAGGGAAUACCUUACUUGGCAAUUGGUAAACAUCUAUGUGGGCCUGCUACAGAUUUGACUCUUAGAUGUUGUCUCAGUGAACAUUGUGAUCAAGAUAAUGGGAAAGAGCCUGGUGUUCGUCCUCAUCUCAGAAGCAUAGCUGUGGCGACCUGUUGCCACCAUCUCUGCCAAUGGAAACACUACACAAGUAAACAAUACCUAAAGAACCUAGGAAUCACUAAAGAGGAUUUCCAUGCUAUCACAUGGUUCACCAGUUGGGCAGUAGAUGCUGAUCAUGGGUCAGAUGUCUCUGAUGAUGGUUCUUUGCCAUCUCCUAUUCCACCUCACCCACCAAGUGGUAAUGAAGAGUGUGGUGGAGAUGCUAGAGGAGUUGAAGGUAUUACAAGGAACAUGAAAGCAAUGGACAGGGCAGCAUUAGGGUUCAUGUGCAAGGAUAUAAUUGAUAUGGGGAGGUUGAUGUGGAUUAAGGAAUGCGGACUGGAAGCUAAACUUGUCAAGUAUGUCCCAUCAGACAUUUCCCCUGAAAAUCGUCUGCUGGUUGCAAAGGCAGGAACAACAACCAUCUCUACCUGACCGCUAAGCUAAAAUGAAAGGUUUGCACUUUGCAGUAACACUUAUUUGAUGAAAUGCAUGGAACCACACAUUAACCAGGCCAAGAUAGUGAAGUCAUGGCUCAUCAAGUUUGUGAUUGAAAUGAAUAUGGUUUCAGACUUUCAUCCAUGUAUGCGAAAGGGCCGGGUUGAGGGGAGGACGAAGCAAGUCUACUUGUUAUCGUGACUACUUGAUACAAGUUUACUUGUUCAUUCAUAUGAGGUAGACUAGGUAAUCUUGCCAGGAUUAUGAUGCAUGCACACAGGUGUGAACAUAUAUUUGUGAUUUGUGGAAAGAAGAUGCUCUUCAAAGUUUAAACAAAAGGAUAAGGAAAGCCACAUAUAGCAUUACAAUUCAGAGUUGACUACGUACAAAAUGUAAAACAGAUGCUUAAUAGGGUCAGAUACAUCAUACUCCGUACUAUGUUACUAUCCAAUAUGCAGAUGUUUUUAAUUUUAAUUUUUAUUUUUAUGGGUGGCUGCUUUCUGCCUUUUGACUGAA